CCGUGGCAAUGACGGGUAACGGGGAAUUAGGGUUCGAUUCCGGAGAGGGAGCCUGAGAAACGGCUACCACAUCUAAGGAAGGCAGCAGGCGCGCAAAUUACCCAAUCCUAAUACAGGGAGGUAGUGACAAGAAAUAACAAUACAGGACUUUUUGGUUUUGUAAUUGGAAUGAGUUAAGUAUAAACCCCUUUACAAGUAUCAAUUGGAGGGCAAGUCUGGUGCCAGCAGCCGCGGUAAUUCCAGCUCCAAUAGCGUAUAUUAAAGUUGUUGCAGUUAAAAAGCUCGUAGUUGGAUUUCUGUUAAUAAUUUAUAUAAAAUAUUUUGAUGAAUAUUUAUAUAAUAUUAACAUAAUUCAUAUUACUAUAUAUUUUAGUAUAUGAAAUUUUACUUUGAGAAAAUUAGAGUGCUUAAAGCAGGCAUAUGCCUUGAAUACUCCAGCAUGGAAUAAUAUUAAAGAUUUUUAUCUUUCUUAUUGGUUCUAAGAUAAGAAUAAUGAUUAAUAGGGACAGUUGGGGGCAUUUGUAUUUAACAGUCAGAGGUGAAAUUCUUAGAUUUGUUAAAGACAAACUAA
rnacentral:rRNA from 1 species